UAGGUAGAGAAUACUCAGGCGCUUGAGAGAACUCGGGUGAAGGAACUAGGCAAAAUGGUGCCGUAACUUCGGGAGAAGGCACGCUAGCAUUAGGUGAAGAGUCUAGCAUCCGAAGCUGAAGCCAGUCGAAGAUACCAGCUGGCUGCAACUGUUUAUUAAAAACACAGCACUGUGCAAACACGAAAGUGGACGUAUACGGUGUGACGCCUGCUCGGUGCUGGAAGGUUAAUUGAUGGGGUAAGCCGUAAGGCGAAGCUCUUGAUCGAAGCUCCAGUAAACGGCGGCCGUAACUAUAACGGUCCUAAGGUAGCGAAAUUCCUUGUCGGGUAAGUUCCGACCUGCACGAAUGGCGUAAUGAUGGCCAAGUUGUCUCCACCCGUGACUCAGUGAAAUUGAACUCACUGUGAAGAUGCAGUGUACCCGCGGCAAGACGGAAAGACCCCGUGAACCUUUACUGUA
rnacentral:rRNA from 1 species